rnacentral:ncRNA from 2 species
AUAUUUGCCAUCAGUUUUGGUACACCUUAAAAAGUGCUUAAAAGGGAAUCAGGUGUAAAUCCUGAACAGACCCGCUGCUGUAAACUUCAUAAAAAAUCUUAGCAAUAAAGUCACUGUUACUCUUGUAAUGGGAAGGCGCAAAAGAGAAGUAAGUCAGAAGACCUGCCAGAAGUAUAUGUUUGAU